GACAGAGGCCCCGAGCGUUAGGCGGAAUCACUGGGCUUAAAGCGUGUGUAGGCGGACGCCUAAGUACCUCGGUGAAAUCCCACGGCUCACCCGUGGAACGGCUGGGUAUACUGGGCGUCUUGGGCCAACUAGGGGCGACCGGAACAAGCGGUGGAGCGGUGAAAUGCGUAGAUAUCACUUGGAACGCCAAUGGUGAAGACAGCUCGCUGGGGGUGUCCUGACGCUGAGGCGCGAAAGCCAGGGGAGCGAACGGG
rnacentral:rRNA from 1 species